UGGCAUGGUUUACCUGGUGACAGGUAGCAUCAUUUUUUAUACCUACUUUUCCCUGUUGGUGUCCCUCAGACGUGUAAAAGAGAGUACUGCAGAAAAGCCUUGAAGAACUGCAGACUUGACCCUCUGAACCCUCCUUUUUGUCUCCCUUUCAUUGCAAGAUAUAUAGUGUUUCUUGUAUCGUUUUUUUCCAUUCCUCUGACAGUACUUCAACCAUUUUUACAGUUGGUUCCUGUGGUGGGUCACUGUUUCUUUCCUGCACUUUUCUGAGUUGUUUAUAGAUAUUUUCUGUCCUAAAGUUCACUCAUGAAAUCUCUCCUGCAGCAGAGUGUGAACUUGAAUUUUUUUAAACAUUUUCUUACAUAGUACUUUCCAGUAAUAAGAGAGAAAUCAAGUCCAAAAGAGUAACAUUGCCACCAGAGGAUCAAUAAAAUGUUCUUGUUCUUACAUAGAAGUGCAUUAGUGGUUAGUGAACUUAAUACAAUUACUAUUGGAAUAUUUGUUUGAGACUGCUUUCAGUGUGACCAGUGAAAAAUAGUUUUGCAAAAAACUGUUGCUAAUCAUGGGAAUAAGUCUUCUGCUAUACACAGACCUUAUAACAGUUAAAAUUCAAGAAAUUCUUAUAAGGAAUGUUGCCAACCCUAAGUAUGAAUUACAUUGAUCUCCAUAGUCUGCCGUAACUCAUGUAAGAUAUAUAAGGACAAAAAUGAAGUGAUGUUGGAAUGCUGUAGUCUUCUGAGGUUGUGUGAUUGAGAGGAACUUGCACAGAUAUGGUGUAGUGUUAUUAAAAAAAAAUGGAGAGGUGUGACAAAAAAAAUAAAGGUAGGAUAUGAAAAUUGAUUAUCAUAGUGAGUUUUUCAUGGGGUAGAAGCAGUGUGUGAAAGGUCUGGUCUGGUUGAAAUAGUAAAAAACUGGAUUAUGGAGUGGUCAAAUGGGUGAAGCAUCUUGCUUUGAUAGUUUAGACACAUGAUAAGAAUGAUUUAGAAUGAUUGUGGAUUGUGACGGUAUCAGGAGUAGGUUACCAGUGAAAUGGAUUAAGUGGACAUGUAUUAAAGAGAAAGUUGAUAGGUGAGGGACUGAGUGUGCUGAGAGAGUGCUGGAACAUGGAAAGUUGGAGACAUUUGUGCCCUGGUCACACCCCUGAAGAAAGUUCCUGUGAGGGAACUUGGGUGUAGGAGAUAUAGAUGGAUAUAUAGAAGAGGGAAAUGUGUAAUUAUUUAUUGAUGAGAGUGUGGGACCUGUGAUUUUUUCACUUGUGUUUGGCUUGGCUUAUAGUUGCACUGAGCCUAGAAUAAUGCAAUGCAGCAAACUGAGCCAUGUCACUGUUUCACAUGUUAGGUGUAGCAAUCGUCACUGGGGCUGAUGUGGUGCUUUUGUGAUGCUUAUAGUUUUCUUUUUGUUUGUUACUUUAAACAGUGAUCAAGAUAUAUAGUAAGGCUGGGCAUGUCAGAUUGAGAAUUGAUACCCUUUAUUUUAUCAGUCUACAUGUUAUAAAUUUUCCAAUGCUGGGAUUCUUAUUUUUCAUGAGUUUUAAUUUCAGCUAGCAAAUUAAACUUUCUUUUUUAUUUUAUUUAUUAUUUUUUUUAAGGCAUGUAUAGACAUCAAACAAGAAUAAGUGAUAAGAAAACUCAGUCAUUACGUAUAUUUUGGCUUGAUAUGAGUUGAUGUAAAGUGGUGAAUCCAUUUUUAAGCUGAUUAUAAUGAACCUAAGGCCUUGUUCACACCAUGGGGACAGUCAUGCCCAAGUUGGUCAUAGUCUCAGUGUAUUCACACACCUAGUCAAGGGAUGUUCUUGCUACAAUCACAGUGAGUAUAUUCACACCCCCAGUCAAAGGAUGUUCUUGCUAUGGUCACAAUCUGAGUAUAUCCACACACCCAGUCAAGGGGCAUUCUUGCUACAGUCACAAUCUGAGUAUAUUCACACACCCAGUCAAGGGAUGUUCUUGCUAUGGUCACAAUCUGAGUAUAUCCACACACCCAGUCAAGGGAGGUUCUUGCUACAGUCAAAAUCUGAGAAUAUCCACACACCCAGUCAAGGGAUGUUCUUGCUAUGGUCACAAUCUGAGUAUAUCCACACACCCAGUCAAGGGAGGUUCUUGCUAUAGACAAAAUCUGAGUAUAUCCACACACCCAGUCAAGGGAGGUUCUUGCUACAGUCAAAAUCUGAGUAUAUCCACACACCCAGUCAAGGGAUGUUCUUGCUAUGGUCACAUUCUGAGUAUAUUCACACACCCAGUCAAGGGAUGUUCUUGCUACAGUCAAAAUCUGAGUAUAUCCACACACCCAGUCAAGGGAUGUUCUUGCUACAGUCAAAAUCUGAGUAUAUCCACACACCCAGUCAAGGGAUGUUCUUGCUACAGUCAAAAUCUGAGUAUAUCCACACACCCAGUCAAGGGAUGUUCUUGCCAUGGUCAAAAUCUGAGUAUAUCCACACACCCAGUCAAGGGAUGUUCUUGCUACAGUCAAAAUCUGAGUAUAUCCACACACCCAGUCAAGGGAUGUUCUUGCUACAGUCAAAAUCUGAGUAUAUCC